rnacentral:lncRNA from 12 species
ACAGGUUUUCAUAUUCACAGGUGACAUCUAGUGACAAUGACAGGUGGCCAAAUUUAAACUCCACCAGCACUAGUUCUCAAAGGAUGCAGCAGAUUUAUACUCCGCCACCACUUGGGUUUAGACUCAUAAAGACAGGAGUGCUAUGACUUGAAGCUGCACAACUGUGAAAUUGAGAUUGCAGAGUAUACACCUGACUGUGAGAGUGCCUAAAAAAAUUCAUCACUGACCACUGGCAUUUUGGAGUUCAAGUAAUCUGUGCCAGCCCUCAAGGAAGAGUAAGAAAGACGGCAAGUUCUCCUUCCCACUGAGCAUCUCCAAUACAAAUAUAUAUGAGUGAAGCCCAACAAUCUGUUACUGAUCGCACUGACGCUGAGCAUCAUUUAAGUUAUACCCAUAUCCAUGCAUACAAGGUGGAAAAUAGGUGGCAAUAUUGGCAGUGUUGUUGGCAACAAUCUUCUAGUUGAGUGAGCACUGCUGGGGAAAUGUUAGAGAUUCCUGGCAUGAGUAUCUUCACUCAACAGCAAAGAGCAACGGUCAGAACAGAACUCCAGGCACUUGGGAUUCCUGAAAUUACUUACUUAGGUUGUAUGUCGUGGGGAACCCUGAAAAAAAAAGAAUUAGGAAAUCAAGACAUGAAGGCUAGAGUAACACGUUCUGACUCUCAGUCUGGAUCCUCAAUAGCAACUGCUUGGGUUUCCACCAUCAAGAAGGCGUAAUUGUGACAAGAAGUACCUUCAAGUCUUCAUCUCCUUCAUUUAUACUUGUGUCCAUCUAUGCAUCCAGGGAAUCCAGCAUCUGUUGCCAAAUAGGUUCAUCGGCACUCUUCCAUGGGUCCCCUGCUGUUCCACUAACAAGAGUGAGUGGAGUAGCAGGGGCUGAUGGCUGCCCGGGAUGUCAUUUUAAGCUCCUCCCUGUCAGUGUCCACAUGGGAUUCAGUCAUUCCACUGCUGUGAUCUGUGAGCCUAAGCACAUACACGCAUCACAGUUCUGAUGCCAUAACAACUAGUGGAUGACAGUCGUUAAGAACACAGUAUCCUGUGUUAGUAGAUGGAACUUUUGCACAUUUUCAUGGCUGCCAGCUGAGAGACGCAAAUGCUGUUUUCCAAACCAUACCUACAGCUAUUAGGAGUCAUCAAGCUGUAGCAUUUUAGAGGAACGUGGAAAAUGCCUUUUACUUUGCAGUUUUAGAAAUAUUUGAAAAGUAAUGUGUGCAUUCUGGUUUUUGUUAAUGUGCUCUAAACAUUUAGACAUUGUCAUGUAAUUAUAUUUAGGUUUGCAUGUUACCGGAUAAAUAUGUUUUCAAUUUGCUCGCUGUGUAUUCAUCUACCACAUGAUAAGCUGUAUAUAUAUUUGGAAAUAUUUUAAAAAGGUUCACAUAACUUUCUUCAAUUCAGUUUUAUUUAUUUAUUUUUAAGAUUUUUAUUUAUUUAUUUAUUCAUGAGAGACAGAGAGAGAGAGAGAGAAAGAGAGAGAGGCAGAGACACAGGCAGAGGGAGAAGUAAGCUCCAUGCAGGGAGCCCGAUGUGGGAUUCGAUCCCAGGACUCCAGAUCACACCCUGAGCCUAAGGCAGAUGCUCAACUGCUGAGCCACCCAGGUGUCCCUCUUCAAUUCAAUUUUAGAUCAUUUAUGUAACCUAGACACAUUUGAAUUUAUUGCUUUUUAAGUUUAUGUAAGACUAAAACACUG